CAUCUCUUAAGAGUUUAGAAAAUUAAUCUACAACUUCUUUAGAUUUAAAUGAAUUAAAAGCAAUUUCAAAAAUUAUUACAAUUUUCUUGAAAAAUGUGUUUCAUUCUUAGAAAUUCACAUUUUACAUACAACUAUUUUCAUAGUUCUCUCAAGUUAAUUAAUAAAUCUAACUUGUAUGUUUUGGAUCUUUCCAAACACAUAUUUUGCUUUUUAGCAAAUAUACAUAUCAUUAUAAGAUAUUAUUUUGCCAUCAAAACCAUUAUAUGAUUAUUUUCAACCAUAUUGACUUUAUAAACUACAAUACACUUGUUAUUUUCAGUCAUAUUGGUCUGAAAAUUCUCUGUUUUUGCAUGGUCAAUCUUUUUACAAAUUGCAUUUAAGCAUUGAUGAAAUAUAAAUGUUUUUGAUUAAUAUCAACAAACAUUUUAUUUCCUAUGGCAAAUGAUUUAUAUGUGGUAGACCUCUCCCAAACUUAAUUUGGGGCAUCGACUCACAACCAUUUCCAUCCAUACAACUUGAUCUCUUAAAGAUCAAAAUGUUGUUUUAUAAUUAUGGUAUUACCAUACUUGAAACUUGAAUUUCUUUUUAUUUUCUCAUUGGUCACACAUGUCUUUAAUAAUUAAAUUAAAUUGUUUCAAAAAAUCUGAAACAGAAAUCAAAAACGUUAGCAUCUAUAUAUAUAUAAAAUUGUCUGCCUCUCUCCUAGGCCAUCCAGCUGGAAACUCGCUUUCUGAGGGCUUGACACGUGUCCGCUUUGUCUAAAACGCGCCGUAUCACUUAAAUUUUAAUAGAUCUGUGUUGGGCUUAAGUUUCGUUACUGGGCUUCAGUAUAAUUGCGAGAAAGCGGUCGGAGACAGGAAUUAGGGUCCGACGGUCGUCUUCUCCAAACUCAAAUGACGUUCCUGAUACCUUCAGCAGAGAAACGGAUCUGCCUUUAAUCCCAUUGAUUGGUGCCUCCACGAUGUGUCUUCAAUACGAUCCUUACGCUUCAGAGGCGAAUGGCCGCUCCUCUUCCACCGUUGAAGGCCAGGAAUAUCCGCCGUGGUGGAGAUCUCAUGGGAGUAGACAUACUCCUUCUUGAUUCUCAGGAAUGUGAAGAAAAAUCUGAAACCGAAGAAGAUGAAGAACUGAGACUUAUAAAGAUUGUUUGUAAAAAAAUUGCAAGCAAGAUGGAGUGUGACAGAGCAAGCGGCGGAAGAGAACGACAAACGGCGGAGAGUAACACAGCACUCGGCAGUGAGCAACGCAGCACUCGGCGGAGAGAAACAAAGAAAGCGGCAGAGAGUAACUGAGAAAGUAGUGGAAGAGCAACAGAACAAUGGCGGAGAGCAAUGAACAAGAGGCAUUGAGAUGGAUCAAGUGACGGAAAGAGUGAGAUGGACAGACAUGAAACAAGCGACAGAUAGUGUGACAAGAGAUAGGAAAUGCAAUUGCUGCAGUUCAAUCUGGCACAAGGGAGGUUCAUAGGCUCUCGGACAGGGUCAAUUAAUCACUUUGUUAGCAAACAUAUAAAAAAGGCUUCCACGACAUCAAGGAGAGGGGUGCUUUUCGCGACACGUGGCGUCUCGGUAGGGUAUCCGUGUUUUUCACGCUCUCUCUUCCUUCUUGCUCUCACGCUCUCUCUUCCUCCUCGCGCGUGUCUGCGCGGUUGUUCAACCAAAGAGGUUGGGCUUCUGUCAUUAAUUUAGGCCCAAAUGUCAUUAGGUCUUCUUCUUCGUUGUUCUUCUUCUUCCCUACCUCUUUCACAGAAAGUAACGUCCCAAGGAUUUUUUCUAUGACAUUUAUUCUCAGUUUUUCCAUUUAUUAAUCCACUCCUCAUGUAUUAUGAUUACGAUCUACCUCUUCGUUCACCCUGUAACCGCCUCGACCUCCAUCUAUAAAUACCGGCCCUCACUUCCAUUCACAGCACAUCUCAAACAAUUUUCUCAGACAUACGAUCUCCUAGAAGCAACAUAUUCAGAUGGCGAAUUCGUACACUCUGCUUGCCAAUUUGAGAGCCGGCCGAUGCUCUAAUACUGCUGAGGUCCGCCUACUGAGGUUCUGGGAGGCCAGAAAUAUCAACAAAGGAGGGGAGCUGAUGAGUAUUGAGUUGCUGCUCAUCGAUGAGGCUGUGGACAGAUAGUCUCAUCCCUUCCAAUGCUUUCAGCCCCGAAGAUAUGGCCACAGAAGAACCGUGCGACAUUACGUGCAGAUUUUGUGAUGGGCUUCUUGCUAUUCAAGAUUACCCACAAGGGUUCCCGCGACCAGAGAUAUCAACGGAAACGCAAAGAGUUCUGACAAGAGAGACGAUACAGAGAGCAUUUCAUGCUACAGAAGUAGGGUUAGCUUCUCAUUCUCUAAGCUGUGGAGUACAAUGCGAGUUUGGCAACUGUUGGCACUUGCUCUUUUGUUGGUGUGAUAUAUAAUAUAUCAUAUAUCAGAGUCCUCUUUUCAUGACGAGUCUUUGAGAUUAACGGGUUAUCUUAGGAAAGAACGGGAUCUGGUGGGAUCUCUGCUAUUCAGCUGUCGAGUGAACAUAAUGCUAACAAUGAGGAUGUUCGUUUUGAGCUUAAGGACUUGCAUCCUGAUGACCCGCAGAUCGUUGUGUUUAAGCAUGGAGUUGGCGAGUUAAGGGGAUCAUCCAAGUAGUUUCUCAUUCUCUCCAGCACUUGUAUUCUACUGUCAUAGAAGAAUAGGAUUCAAUGCUUAUGGAAAGAUGAUUCAAUGCCUUUCUCUUGAUACUUGGUUGUGGCUCAAGUUCUUGAUUUUGGUUAUAAUUUUGUUGUGAUGGUGCUUCUGCCUUCUCUGUGCUUUUAUGGACAGAGAUAAAUAAAAUUGUUUCUAUGUCUUUAUGUGGUUUGUCUUUGUUAGAAUUGAAAAUCAUUACAGAGGUUGCCUAUUACUUCGACUAAAAACAACUCUUUUGCAUAAUAUGCAUAUUUGGCGAGUAAUAAGGUAGUUUAUAAUUAGGGUUGCUAAUAAACAGUUGCAGUAAACAAGCUAAACUUACUUCCUGCCUUCUUUAUGAUGUGGAUACGUUAUGAUGUUCCCUUUCCCGUGUAGCUCUAAACUCAUAUGCUUAGUCUUCCUUCCACUUAAAUUUGCAGCCAAACAUCCUUUCACUUAAAGAUCACUCUGAAGCUUCUGAUGGCAUUUACUGUAAGAACUGAGCUCUUUGUUCUUUCUGCGCCUGAUAAGAGUUUUUCCUUGGAUCACUAUGUUAUGUUAUAGAACGUAUUGCCUUUUCCUUUUACCUCUCCACAUACAUAAACAACCGAGAUAAACAGGAAAAUCGGAACGUAAAGAUAUGUUUGCAAGCACCAUUAAAUGCAUGUUGUAAUUGGUGAUAUGGCUUCAAAAGGUUUUAAGAAAAUCCUAAAGUCUUGAUUUUUAUCCAAUUUAUUGAUUUAAAAGUCUUUUAACCCUUUUAAAAACACUCAAAACCACUUUUCCUUUUUUUUUGUUCAGUGAAGGAUGCUUAUUUUUUCUAAAGCCUAUAAAAGCUGGUUUUUAUUUAAAUUUUUUUUCAAAAUCAUUAAAUUUUCUAUAACUUUUAUAAACAAUAGUUCAGUUCAAAAAAAUGUGUUCUCUCUCAAUAUUUGUUUUUAAUUCUUCUUUAAAUUGUUGAGAUGUCUAACGAUGGAAAAGCUCUUAGAAUACCCUUAUCGGAGCAGAAUUUUAAAUAGAGUUCUUAGACAAUUUACGAUAUUAUUUUAAUGCAAAAUUUUUGGAUGAAAAUGAUUUUUUUUUGUCAGAAAUUCAAAUAAUGUAAAUAAUCUUUCCUAGCGAUAAUUGAAUCUUAAUGGAGGAAAAACUGUUAAUUUUAAUGUUAAUUUGUUAUGUAAUUAGUUUUUAUAUAUGAUAAGUUAACCGAAGAAUAACACAUGUAGCUUUUUUAUAAAGUAUAGCACAUGUAGCUAUAGUAUCUGGAAAUACUAAGCUAAGCUUAACCAUUUCAAUAGAAAACUGAACUUCUAUAUUCUACGGUCAAAUAAAAUAUUUAUCCAAUAAAACCAAAACUUACAUAUCUUAAUAUGUUUUAAUCAAUCAAAAUUAAUUUACAAGAAGAUUUCUGAAAAAUCCAAAUAUAUAUCAAAGAACACUUUAAAUCUAUGUAGUGAAGUGUAUAUUAGAAUACCUUACCAUCAAAUAUAUAUAUAAAAUCUAUGUCAUAUUUCAAUACAUUUUAUUAUGUUUAAGUUAUGGAAAAAUAUCAAAGAAAGUCUAUAGAUAAUGAUUUUGAGAUAAUAUAAAAUAUGAACGAUUAAUUUUUUGUAUAAAUUAGCUCUGGUGUGUUUGUUUUUAGGGUUCACUGAAUUUUGAUUUGGACUUCAAUCCUAAUAAACGCUUAGUUAUAAAUUAAAACUAUUACAAAAAAUAUUUAUGUGUUUCAUUUUGAAUAAAUUUGUUGUCUUGGUUCGAACAAGAUGAUCACAAAACAAACAACUACAUUUAUGUGUUUCAUUUUGAAACAUCAUUAAACUAUAUUUACUUUAGUGCAACUAUCAACUAUUUAUUAUAUUUUAUUUCAUUAAUUUAUAAAAUCUAUUUAUACUAUUCAUUUUUGACCUAAGCAACUAUAAAACAAAGUAAUACACUAUUAAUUACCACUAUCAAAUGGAUCACAAACUCAUUAUCCAAUCAUUAGGGAACAAAAUAUACAAACCCGGCGCGUAGCGCCGGAAUACCACUAGUAAUAGAUAUAAAGCGAGGAUGCAAGUAAUGGUUGUUUUUCUACCAUCUGAAUUGAUUACAAUUAAAAUAUUUAUUGUUUUGGAAAUGAACGACAUAAUAAUUGUUGUAUUGCAGCUGAGUUUCAAAAUUAUAGUAGCAAAUAGAGAUUCUAAGAUGUCAUCCCCAUCUGCAGAAACUAAUAAUGUCCAAAACAUCCAAUAAUAGUUUUCUCCAGUUUAAAAAAUAGAGCAUUUACACUGAAAAAAAUGUUCUCUGGAAUAUUGAACUUUUGAGAUUCUAGCGUAAUAUAUGUAUAAUUCAAAAAUAUAUCAUAAGUUAGAUCGUAUGUUAUGUGUGGUCAUGCUAAUUUUGUACUUAUUGACUAUAAAAUGCAUUUUAUUCAUGAAUGGUUAACGUUAACAACUGUAUUUGGGACAUGAAAAAAAAUACAAUAGUGUUGUACUUAAUAGAAAACGACAAUAAUUUCACAAAUAAUCCAUUUAUAAUUAAGCAUGAAAAACAGAUUUUGAACAAAAAAAUUAUUUGAUCAUGUAAACUGACGAAUUUGAUCACAACUAAAUGCAAAACAAAUACACAAAGUAAAUGCAUUAAAAGCUUUUUUAAAAUAAAGCCACAAGAACAAACGCUCCACACUUGCUAAUAUAUGCAAGAUCAAACGCUUGAAUUUUGAUAAAAAUCAGUCGUAUAAGCAUGGCUAAACCAAAAGUAAAGCAAAAUUAGAUCAUACAAGUCACACUUUUGUUUCAAAAUAAUUUUAAAAAUCAAGCGAAAGUGCAACACGACGGUUUCAACACGUCAAAAGACAAAUCAAAUCAAAUCAAAUUGUUUUUUUUUUCCAGAAAAUCUGUAACUAAUGAUCAACGCUUGAUGAUAAAGAAGAUUCACAGAAAAACAAUAGCUAAGAUUAUUACAAAAGAUCCCUGCGCAUGAUCGAUCUGAAAAGAUCAUAACAAUUGCUUUUUCAUCACCAUGAAUUCUCGAAUUCCUGUUUUUAUGAUAAACAAGAUCAGAUUCCGGCAUCUUUAACCUGUUCUUAAAAAUAAAAUUUUUUUUUUAACAAAUAUCAGUAUUGUUAGUGCAAAAGCAUAAACAAUAUUUAAAGAUUUAAGAGAUUUAAGAGUGUAGGAACCUUAUUUUACUACCAUAGGACAACUGAUAUUUGUAAAAAAUAAUAAGAACAUAAACUAAAAUUUCAGUACCAAAAUAUAAAAAUAAAGAAGAAUUGCAGAGUUGAGAUAGUUAAUCUCUUUCCUUAAAUCUUUAAACGCCUCAUAGUGUGACGGUUUUAUGGCGCUCAGAUUCCCAAGAUACAACUGCAGCAUUGUUUCUGUUUACCAUCACCGAAAAACAGAAUCUAUCGAACCUAUUUUUCUGAUGUACUCUCAGACUCAAAAUAAAAAAAUACUAGCAUAACUAUUCUGAGUUGAAGAAAUGUUUCUUGAUUGUAUGAAUGUGUUUUUGUUUUCUAAAUGGCUCACAAGCCUUUAUAUAGAAAUAUAAUGAGAAGCACAAGUUUCAUUUUUCAACACAAAAAUGAAACUUCCAUGGUGCACUAAUGGAGUUUUUAAUUCUUGUCAUUAUUAUGUAAAUUUAUUCUACAUUUUGACCAAGAAAUUAAAAAAUAAAAUUAUUAUUGUUUUGACCAAUUCAAACAAAAUAAUAUACUUUAAAAUGGAUUUCUUUUUUUAUAUUUUAUCAAUAUAAAAGAUCAACAUAUAUUUGGUUUAUAAGAUUAAGUCAAUGAACAUGAAGUCCAACUAACAAAUCAAAAAACCCAAAUCCAAGUUCAAAUAUCCAAUGUGUGUAUUUGCUACUUUAUAUAAGUUUCUCAAAUCACACACAUUAGACCUCCAUUUCUCAUUCAAAUAAAACUUCUUUUUUGACAUAUGAAUACAUUAUUCAUAAUGUUCAAAAAAUAGUUCCAACAUUCAAUGUCUUAAAAUAGAGAUGUUUCGUAUACCUUUUAUGCUGUAUAUAAAAACCAUAACAAUAUUCAACCAAAUAAAAAUGAUUUGCAUCUAAGAAAAGUGUACGCAAUGAUUUACGUGAAAAAUGUUCGUCCAGAAAAAUGUAUCCAAUGAAUUCUUUAAAAGCAAUGUAUUUUAUUGCAUUAAAGUCAUAAUUUUGGUGAGAAACGUUAUCUGCAUGACAUCUAAGGUAAGUGUCUUGCAAUAAACCUUGUCAAUAAACCUUUUACGUAAGAAAAGUGUUUCUCCUUUAAUAUCUAGGGGAUAACACAACUAUAUUGUUGAGGUAAAAAACGGUAAUCUCAAAAUCAAAGUUCAAGUUUGCUACUCUUAAGAAACUUUCUCAAAAUAACUUUGGAAAAAUCAUAAGUAGAAAAUUACGAAACAACCGGAUCGCUCCAUCUCUGGAUCGCCAGCAGGCGACCGCGAUCUCUCCCUCCGGGUGGCCAGCAGGCGAUCGAGGCCUGCUCGAUCCGGGACGCCAGCGGGCGACGGGGGGCAACUCCCUCUGGGUCGCCAGCAGGCGAUCGAGGCCUGUACUAUCCAGACCGCUAGCGGGCGACCGGCUCGUCUUGCUCUGGGCCGCCAGCAGGCGACUGAGGACAGUUCGCUCUGGGUCGCCAGCGGGCGACCGAGGCUUGUGAUAUCCAGGUCGCCAGCGUGCGACCGAGGCUUGUGACGUCCAGGUCACCAGCAUGCGACCGGUUCACUAGCAGGCGACAUCAUGCACCUGCUCUCGUCUCGCUCUCAUAGGUCUCUUCUUUGAACCUUGACCAAAUUGUCUCUUGUUUCGUUUCGAUUGGAAUUACUGUUAAAACUUUACGAUAAAAUAGCAAACACUUGCUUUCUCGUAAAAUUUUCAAAUUAAUCGUAUAAAAUGAUAACGGUUAACUUAAGAAAAAAUGAUUGUUGGCCACAUGUAGUAUUGGCCAUCACAUGGUUAACCAUGCAAACUAAACUAAUGUAUACCUAGUCACACGAAUUAUAUGUUAUGCAUGACAAUAUCCCUCAACUUUAUGAUGUUAUGUAGUUAACAUCCCGAGUUUAAUUUCAUUUAUCCAAAUUAAAACUGAUGUGGAUGUUAGAGAUCGUUUAAAUAUCUUGUUUCAACAAUUAAAAUAUGAUCGACCCGACUAUAAUUUAAUUACAAUUAGAUUUUGACCCACAUUUUAAAAGCGUAAGAAUAUUUUUAACAAAAUCUAAUUUACAAAAUCAAUAUUUUUAAUAUAUUUUUAUAAGUAGUGUUUUAACAUUUUUAUUUUAGUGUAUUUAAAAACUAUAUAAUUGUAUAUUUUUUAUAUUAAUCUGUUUUGUUAUGAACUUUUGAUAAGCAAUGUUUUAACAUUUUUAAUUUUGUGUUUUAACAUUUUUAUUUUAGUGUAUUUUAAAACUAUAUAAUUGUAUUGUUUUUAUAUUUAUUAAUCUGUUUUUUUUUUAAUUAUAUUAAUAUUUUUGUUAUGAACUUUUAAUAGAAAAAUUGUAAUUCGUUUGAUUAAUUGUGUGUAUAUACUUCUUUGAUAUGAAACUUAUUUUCUGUCGGUUUAUUUUCUGUCAAUUUAAACUAAACAUAAUCUUGCAUAUAUAUACUUUAAGAAUAAAAUAAUCAAAGAAUAAGAAUCUAAUGUGAAAGUCUUAUUAAGUUUAAAUGAAUGAAACUUUUGUUUAUGAAAAAUAUAUAAAAUAAUUCAUUAACUUAAUAGUUUCAUAUUAAAAAAAUUAAAUAUUAGAGUCAAUAAAUUGACAUCAAAGAAGUUUUAUAAUGAUCAUUUUUUUAUCAAAUAAGUAUAUAUCACACAGUUAAUCAAACGAAUUACAGAAAUUUUAUUAAAAGUUCAUACCAAAACAGAUUUAAAGAAUUAAAAAACUAAAUUAAAUAAUAUCUUAUAUAAUUUUCAUAAUUAAUAAAAAUAAAAAUAAUAUAAUUAUAUUGUUUUCAAAUACACUAAAUAAAAAUGUUAAAACACUACUUACCAAAUUUUAUAGAACAUAUUGAUUUUGUAAAUUAGAUUUUGUUAAAAAAUAUAUUUACGCUUUUAAAACGGUUCAAAAUCUAAUUUAGGUAAAUUACUGUCAGGUACGUAACAUUUCAAUUGAUGAAACGAGAGAUUUAAACGGUCUCCGACAUACACAUCAUUUUUUGGAUGAAUGAAAUUAAACUCUGUGUUGUUAACUACAUAACAUCAUAACGUUGAGAUAUGUUGUCAUGCAUAAUAUAUACUUCAUGUAGAUAAGUAUACAUUUAUUUAGUUUGCAUGGUUAGCCAUGUGAUGGCCACUACUUCAUGUAGUCAGCAGUCACUUUUCCUUAACUGAACACCAUCACUAUCUCGACAAUACGACUGAUUUUUAUCAUCCCAUAGAACCAACAUCGUACCGAAGGUGAUUUCUCUGAAAGAAGUAGUAAAAACACUGAAGUCGAAAAAAGGUCCAAGAAGAUCUAAAACGCGCCCGAAGCCCAUUUACGAUUUUAAACGAGAAUGAGUCCAAACUACAGCGACGGUCUAUAUAAUAAAAAGAUAAAUAUAAAGUUUCUACGAUAAGCAUGUAGAUCGAGAGGUUAAGAAAAACUUCCGCAAAGAGAUAAAUUCAAAUCAAGGACAGAAAAGGCAAGGGUGCACCGACCUUGGAGACAUAUAUAAGGAGAGCUAUGGCAAGGAGUGUGGGGGCCGAAAAAAUUAGACCUUAGGAAAUUUUUGUUAGUUCUAGGAGAACUUAGGAUUUAGGUGGUUAAACUAGCAAGUUUCAUAAUUAGAAUGUUUUACUGCUUGCUCUUUUGUUCUCCAUUGAUAACGGAUCUCCGAUCAUCUUGUUUUUCGGUGAAACUCUGUAAACUCUAUUCAUCUUAAUUUAUAAAACGCCUAUGAGAAACUUUUACGAUAAUUUGUUAUCUCUAUUUUUUUCGUAUUUGUGUGUUUACGCAGAGAAUCCAGGUCUUCAUGGAAACUCAAGAAACUUGUCUUUCCUCCAUUAACUAAAAUCGACCGUGCAGAUUUUGUUUUCUACAACUAUUUUACAUAUACAUAACUAAACAUUUUUUAUGUGAAAACUUCAUAUUUGUUUUUACAAUAAAUGAAUGUUGAGAGAGAAAAUCUUCAUAUCUAUACUAUAUUAAAAGGGAUAUAUGAGCUCCAUUGAGCCUAUCCACCUCAGCAUAAAAAAUCAUCCAAUUAAAACAUAAGUAAUUGACACAUCAGAUGACACAUCCUAUUUUCUUCAAUCGACGACCUUUCUUCCAAAAAGUUAUUGUUUCCCUUUUGUAUUCCCUUCUGAACCCUUCUUCCAACUUCAAUUAUAUCCCAGCUCCAAUCAAUCGAUUCCUCGCCUGCCUCAUCUUCAUCCUCCAAUGGCAUGGGUUGAUUGCUCGAACCUAGCUCGAAGCUCUUCCCCUUCUUUUCCUUACUACCGUGAUUGGAACUUCGGUGUUGAUUCCAAUCAAAAGCCUAAGGUAAUGUAAAGUCCUCUGCUUUCAAGUGUUUCGAGAAUGGGUUCUUUGCCAAGAGAUUGUUGAUUUGAUCAGAUCUGUCUUUGGGGGUUUUGUAAAGUUCUCGCCUUUAUGAUUCGGGCAUUGCUAUGUGUACCUCAAGUAUUGUAAUCAAAGAGAUUGAUGAUUUGAAUUGAUUUGAUCAGAUCUGUCUCUGGGAUUUGUAAAGUUGGUAACUUUAUGAUUUGGGCAAUUUACAGAUAUGUAUCACGACUAGCACAUCAGCUGGAUUGGAUCAGAUUCUACAGUGGAUGUUCUACCAUAAGGUUCUUGGCGUAUCCACGUUUUUUCUUUUUGUAUAAGAGAAAGCUGCUACGCCCACCAUUUCUAAAGUUCUCGAGUUUAUUCCUUAGGCUUAGAAGAAGCACAAAAAUGAUGGUGUAAAACCGAAGAGACCAUAAAAAAAAGGAGGAGGAAGAUAGAAAAAAGACAUGGAGAAGUCAAAGAAAGGAUAAAAGUCUAUAGUGCAUGGAGUUAAGUUAGAUGAUGUUGCUCGGUUACUGAAUCGUGCUCGCAACUACUCAGCUGUGUGCUUACAUGGCUUAUAUCAGCCGAGAAUAUAAGAAAAGGUAAUACGUUUUAUUUCUUCUUUGAAGUGCAUGUCUCUCUAUCUUUAUUAGUUAAGUAGAUACUCAUAAGCAAGAAAAACGUAUAUUGAGUUUUCUGGUCCUUCCCGAAAAGUAUGGAGAAUGAGAUGUUAGGUGAAGCUUUUAAGAAGCUUCAGAACCCAUAUGAGAUAGUGAUUGUGGUUCAUCAUUUGUAUCGGCGCAUCAAGUUCAUCCAUCUCUGAUCUCCCUAGCUGUUUCUAUUGGGGGUAAGUCUUGAUAUUUGUUUGUUUUUUUCCAUUCACAAGAGAAUAGUUGAGUUUGCGAAGUGAUCCUUUUGAUGAUUGCACUCAGAAGGACUUAAACAAGCCACUGAUUAUUGCAGCCAAAACCAACAUGGAGGUGUUGUUAGAGGUGGUUGAGGAAGAGGCCAAGCUGGUGGUGGCAAAGCCGCAAAGACAAUAAAGGUGGCCUAGCUAAAUAUUGUCGUGCCUAAAAUUGAGAUUGAAAAAUGGAAUAAAAAGCUCUAACAUGGUAUUUGGAAGAACGUGUAGAUAACAAAAACUGAAGGUUUUCUACAUUUGUGGAUCAUCGGGUGAACACGCUCCUGUCUCUAGGAGCAUCCGGAGCUAAAUCCUUUGUUGCUCAGAUUUGUGCAAUGAUCUUUUUUGUAAUUCAGUGGCUACAUGAGAGUUGUUUCUGAUUGACUCAGAGUUUAGAGUCUACAACGAGUGUACGGUAGGAGACGGUAAUGAUGAUAGCGGUGAAUGACUGACUCAUCACACGAUCGGGAAGAAGUAUAAGCUGAAGGCGAACGGUGAAGACGGACCAGUUAUUUUCUUAUGCAAGGAAGACAGGAAUGAUUCCAUCUCCAUCAGUAACUUAACUCUCUUCACACUCAAGAUGGUGUGGUUACAGUUCUCUGUUCUCUCGACUCUUGAGUUGUUAGUUGUUUAUCUAAUGGUAAGAUAUUUUCUCUGUAUGUAAACUUGAUCGUCCACGAAUUAACCCUCAUGUAUUUUGGUUUCUAUUUGUCAGAACAGAGUAUGUCGAUGAUUUUAGCCCAUAAAAGUUGUCAGUAAAUUGACUUGA